AUACUUACGUGGCAGGGGAGUUACCAUGAUCACAAAGGUGGUUUUCCCAGGGCAAUUCUUUUCCAUUGCACUCUGGAUGGGCUGACCCCUGUGAUUUCCCCAAAUGUGGGAAACUUGAACGGCACAAUUUGUGGUAGUGGGGGACUGGGUUCAUGCUCUCACCUG